rnacentral:misc_RNA from 1 species
GUUGGUGAACCAGCGGAGGGAUCAUUAAAGAGCUUAAAAACUCCUUAAAACCAUUGUAAACUCAUCCGUCAGCGUUGCUUCGGUGGGCGGCCCCAGGGCGGGGCCGCAGCCUCCCCUCUCCGGAGGGGGGCGCCCGCCGGAGGCACAAAACUCUUAUGUAUUAUAUGGAACUUCUGAUUAAACAAGCAAAUAAGUUAAAACUUUCAACAACGGAUCUCUUGGUUCUG